AAGUCGUAACAAGGUAACCGUAGGUGAACCUGCGGUUGGAUCAUUAAAAAAUAUUUGGCUUCGUGCCAGAUAAACACCUGUGUGCACCAUUGUCUGUUUUUGGUAGUUGAGAGUGCUUUUCCUCUUUCGGGAGGUCUUGCCUACCCCCUUUGGCUUCGGCUUUGGGUGAGGGUUGCUCUACCGCUUUUUUUGAAAAACCUUUUUGUUGUUUGUUUUUUGCCUGAACUUUAAGAUUUAAUCUUUAUUGAUUAAUGAUUUUAUUACAACUUUUGACAACGGAUCUCUUGGCUCUC
rnacentral:misc_RNA from 1 species